UAAGCGGAGGAAAAGAAACUAACAGGAUUCCCCUAGUAACUGCGAGUGAAGCGGGAAAAGCUCAAAUUUAAAAUCUGGUGGUCUUUGGCCAUCCGAGUUGUAAUUUAGAGAAGCGUCUNCCGCGCUGGACCGUGCACAAGUCUCCUGGAAUGGAGCGUCAUAGAGGGUGAGAAUCCCGUCUUUGGCAUGGACACACCAGGGCUUUUGUGAUGCGCUCUCGAAGAGUCGAGUUGUUUGNGAAUGCAGCUCAAAAUGGGUGGUGAACUCCAUCUAAAGCUAAAUAUUGGCGAGAGACCGAUAGCGAACAAGUACCGUGAGGGAAAGAUGAAAAGCACUUUGGAAAGAGAGUGAAACAGUACGUGAAAUUGUUGAAAGGGAAACGCUUGAAGUCAGUCACGUCGACCGAGACUCAGCCUUGCCUCGGCUUGGUGUACUUCUCGGCUGACGGGUCAGCAUCAAUUUUGCCCCUUGGAUAAUGGCGAGGGAAAUGUGACACCUUUAUGGUGUGUUAUAGUCUCUCGUCGCAUGCAAGGGUUGGGAUUGAGGAACUCAGCACGCGCCCUUUGGGUGUCGGGGCUUUGCCCACGAUACGUGCUUAGGAUGUUGGCAUAAUGGCUUUAAACGACC
rnacentral:rRNA from 1 species